GACGAACGCUGGCGGCGUGCUUAACACAUGCAAGUCGAACGGAAAGGCCCUGCUUUUGUGGGGUGCUCGAGUGGCGAACGGGUGAGUAACACGUGAGUAACCUGCCCUUGACUUUGGGAUAACUUCAGGAAACUGGGGCUAAUACCGGAUAGGAGCUCCUGCUGCAUGGUGGGGGUUGGAAAGUUUCGGCGGUUGGGGAUGGACUCGCGGCUUAUCAGCUUGUUGGUGGGGUAGUGGCUUACCAAGGCUUUGACGGGUAGCCGGCCUGAGAGGGUGACCGGCCACAUUGGGACUGAGAUACGGCCCAGACUCCUACGGGAGGCAGCAGUGGGGAAUAUUGCACAAUGGGCGGAAGCCUGAUGCAGCAACGCCGCGUGCGGGAUGACGGCCUUCGGGUUGUAAACCGCUUUCGCCGGUGACGAAGCGUGAGUGACGGUAAUGGGUAAAGAAGCACCGGCUAACUACGUGCCAGCAGCCGCGGUGAUACGUAGGGUGCGAGCGUUGUCCGGAUUUAUUGGGCGUAAAGGGCUCGUAGGUGGUUGAUCGCGUCGGAAGUGUAAUCUUGGGGCUUAACCCUGAGCGUGCUUUCGAUACGGGUUGACUUGAGGAAGGUAGGGGAGAAUGGAAUUCCUGGUGGAGCGGUGGAAUGCGCAGAUAUCAGGAGGAACACCAGUGGCGAAGGCGGUUCUCUGGGCCUUUCCUGACGCUGAGGAGCGAAAGCGUGGGGAGCGAACAGGCUUAGAUACCCUGGUAGUCCACGCUGUAAACGGUGGGUACUAGGUGUGGGGUCCAUUCCACGGGUUCCGUGCCGUAGCUAACGCUUUAAGUACCCCGCCUGGGGAGUACGGCCGCAAGGCUAAAACUCAAAGGAAUUGACGGGGCCCCGCACAAGCGGCGGAGCAUGCGGAUUAAUUCGAUGCAACGCGUAGAACCUUACCUGGGUUUGACAUGGAUCGGGAGUGCUCAGAGAUGGGUGUGCCUCUUUUGGGGUCGGUUCACAGGUGGUGCAUGGCCGUCGUCAGCUCGUGUCGUGAGAUGUUGGGUUAAGUCCCGCAACGAGCGCAACCCUUGUUCACUGUUGCCAGCACGUUAUGGUGGGGACUCAGUGGAGACCGCCGGGGUCAACUCGGAGGAAGGUGGGGAUGACGUCAAGUCAUCAUGCCCCUUAUGUCCAGGGCUUCACGCAUGCUACAAUGGCUGGUACAGAGAGUGGCGAGCCUGUGAGGGUGAGCGAAUCUCGGAAAGCCGGUCUCAGUUCGGAUUGGGGUCUGCAACUCGACCUCGUGAAGUCGGAGUCGCCAGUAAUCGCAGAUCAGCAACGCUGCGGUGAAUACGUUCCCGGGGCU
rnacentral:rRNA from 1 species